GUUCAAAUAUAUGAUCCAUUAUGUAGCUCGGUGACUUUCAAUAUUAGCGAUAAUUUAAAUCCAUUUAUAGUUCUUAUAUUUCAAAAUGUACCAAUUAAAAAAUUAAAUGAAGAACAAAUACCAUUAAAAUUAAAUAAAAUAUUUCAAAAGCUCAUUCGUGAUGAUAAUUAUUUUAACCUAGAAAGACUGAUAUCAUCUAUUAAAAAGUAUAAGCUACAAAAUAAUCAUAAUCCUACUUUAUCAACAUUAAUAAUUAAAGACUUUUUGUAUGGAAAGAGUCAAUCUGAUUUUGACGAAAUAAUAAACACAAAUAGAAUUUUUAAUCAACUUCUUAGUGAAGAUAUCGUUUUUUGGAAAAAUAUUUUAAGAGAUUAUUUAUUAAAUGAUUACAAAGUAAUUGUAAAAGGAAUUCCAUCUAUACAAAA